CAAAAUUUAAAAUUAUGAUGUUAUUCUAAUAUAUUUGAAUAAUAUAAGGAGAAAACAUAAGAAAAUAUAGACUGCGCGGGCCAACAUGCUAUUUGGUCGACUGUCAGCAUUUUGCCCUUGACGCUCAUGCAUCCCAGCCGUCCACGUCCCGGAGGAAUAACACACCCUCCAGCCUUCUCCUCCUCAAUCCACCGACGCCGCCGCCGCCGCCGGCUACUUCUCCGGCUACUCCCCAUCGCAUGUUCCGAUAGUCCAAGAGCGGCGGCAACGACGGCUGGCUUCUCCAGCGAAUCCAUUCAGCUCCGGCUGGCCUCGACCUGACCCUGCCCCCGGCGGCAUCCUCGACCGGAUCCGUCUAGCGGCGACCUCCGCAAUGGCGGCGGCGGCUCGCUGCCCCGGUGACCAUCGCGGGGGUGGGCUUCUCCCACGACGACGGCGGCCGCGGCAGCAGCAGCACACAGCGAGCAGCCGGAGCCGGGCAACCUGCCGCCAUUGUCAAGGCCGACAGGUAAUAAACAGGUAUGCGCAGCCUGGUUACAGUAUUUUACGCCCUUCUGAAUUUUGCUGCGAAAGUAACUGAGAUUAUCGAUGAUAUGAACAUGUACAUCACUAGAGAAUAUUGCGGGUCCCGUGAUUAGCGACAUUGCUGUGUGCAACGUUUGUUCCUUUUAGGUAUUAUUACGUUCCUUUCAUGUAUCUUUGGACGCUGUCGAUUAGUCCAGUGACUCCUAUCCCAAUUCCUCUUGCCACACACCACUUAUCCGCUGCAGCAACCUCGCAAUCCCCUCGGCGCUCGCUGGUUCCAGCCAAGCUGCUUCCGUCCUCCUUCACUUCAUCUGUGCAACAGGGUUAUUCAUCCGGCCCUGGUGGUUUUGCCGUCUGCAAACACCUGUCUUCCAUUCGCAUUUCAGAAGAAAAAGAAACACACACACAAAAAAACUACUCGUCAGAGUUUUCUUCCUAAUUUCCCAUCCAAAACCAGUAGUUUUCAUUGAAAACAAAAUCAUUUGUUGUUGUACUGUCCCCGUAUUUUGUUCGUAGCAAUUCCCAUCCAAAAAACAAAAUCAUCCUAGCUUUUUACUUUCACCUUGUUCCCAUCGGUCCUUGUUUAGAUCUUCCUAGUUCUAAGUUUACCAACAUUUCUCCAUCUUCACAUCCAAUAUCUCUGUACCUACCAAAAUUACAAAGAGAGAGAACAGGGAGACAGCAAAUUCAAUCCGAUGGCGGAAGUGGCAUUGGCUAGCUUACGAUUGGCAGCAUCACCGAUCCUGAACAAGCUCCUCGCUGACGCUUCAACAUACCUUGGAGUGGACAUGGCGAGUGAGCUCCGUGAACUGGAGACCAGCAUCAUGCCGCAGUUCGAGCUGUUGAUUGAAGAAGCUGAGAAGGGCAACCACAGGGCCAAGCUGGACAAAUGGAUACGGGAGCUCAAAGAAGCCUUGUACAAUGCCGAGGACCUGCUGGAUGAGCAUGAGUACGACAUCCUCAAGCGCAAGGUGAAGAACGGAGGCGAGGAUCCUUCUCCAGAUCUAGAGCAUGCCUCCUCCAUCGGUUCCAUCAUUAAGAAACCUAUGCGCGCAGCAUCAAGCAGCUUGUCCAAUCUGCGACCGAAGAACAUAAAGCUUGUACGCCAGCUGAAGGAGCUCAAGGCCAUCCUAGCGAAAGCAAGGGACUUCCGUGAAAUGCUUGGCUUACCGGCUGGUAGCAGUGUAGAGGGGGCACAAACUGGACAUACAAAAACAGUGGUCGUUACUGCAGCGACAUCAACCCCACCACCAAAGGUGUUUGGUCGCGACGCGGACCGCGAUCGCAUUGUUGAUCUUCUUACCCAACACAAGACUUGUGCUGAGGCUAGCCGUUUCGUUGUCUCCAUUGUUGGACCUGGAGGCAUGGGGAAAUCCACCUUGGCUCAGUAUGUUUACAAUGACAAGACGAUACAAGAACAUUUUGACGUCACGAUGUGGGUUUGCAUCUCACGCAAACUUGAUGUCCAUCGUCAUACAAGGGAGAUCAUCGAGUCUGCAACAAAAGAGAAGUGUCAAAGGGUUGGUAAUAUGGACGUUCUCCAGUACAAACUAAAAGAAAUACUGCAGAAAAAAGAGAAAGUCCUGCUUGUGUUGGACGACAUUUGGUUCGAUAAAUCCCAGGACGUUGAGGAAUGGGACCUGCUACUUGCUCCCAUACUAUCUUCUCAGAAUGGGGCAACCAAAGUUCUGGUAACUUCUCGAUCUAAGACACUUCCACCUGCUCUUUUCUCUGAAGAUGUCAUUGAUUUGGAAAAUAUGAAAGAUACUGAGUUCCAGGCACUCUUCAAACACCAUGCUUUCUCUGGAGCCACAAUUCGAGACCUCCAGAUGUGUGGCUGGUUCGAAGAGCAUGCAGUGAAGAUUACUGAAAGGCUUGGAAGAUCUCCUUUGGCAGCAAAAGUUGUAGGUUCCAACUUGAAAAGGGUGAUGAAUAUCGAUGAUUGGAAAGGUGCUCUCACUAUAAAGAUAGACAAUUUAAGUGAACCUAAGAGAGCUCUGUUGUGGAGUUAUCAGAAAUUAGAUCCAUGUCUUCAGAGAUGCUUUCUGUAUUGCAGUUUAUUUCCAAAAGGUUACAAAUACAUAAUUGACGAGUUGGUUCACCUUUGGGUUGCAGAGGGAUUUAUUGAUGCACGUGAUACGAAUAAAAGAAUGGAAGAUACCGGCAUGGAUUACUUCAAAGAGAUGGUCUCUGGAUCCUUUUUCCAACCAUUUUCUGAAAGAUUUGAUAGUACGGUGUACAUUAUGCAUGACCUCCUUCAUGAUUUGGCAGAGUCACUCUCUAGAGAAGACUGCUUCAGAUUAGAAGAUGACAAGGUGAGAGAAAUACCAUGCACUGUUCGGCAUUUAUCUGUUCGUGUUGAGAGUAUUAUACAACAUAAGCCAAGUGUCUGCAAGCUACAACAUUUGCGAACUCUUAUCUGCAUUGACCCACUAGUGGAUGUUGGGAGCAAUAUUUUCGAGCAGGUAGUAUUGAAUCUGAAGAAGUUACAAGUACUUUAUUUGUCGUUUUACAACACUAGAAAGUUGCCAGAAUCAAUCGGUCAGCUAAAGCAUCUUCGGUAUUUGAACAUCAAGAAGACAUUGAUUUCUGAACUACCAAAAUCAUUAUGCGAUCUUUACCAUUUAGAGUUACUUUAUUUGCGUCCGAAAUCGAGGUUACCUGACAAACUCUGCAAUUUAUGUAAGUUACGACAUCUUCAAAUGUACUCUGAUGGAUUGGAGCUGUCACGGAUUCCUGACAUAGGCCGGCUAACUUUGCUUCAACGUAUUGAUAGUUUUCACGUCCUAAAACAGAAGGGACAUGAGUUGCGACAGCUCAGGAACAUGAACGAAAUUGGUGGGUAUUUAUCGCUCAGAAAUCUUGAGAAUGUGAUUGGCAAGGAUGAAGCUUUAGAGUCGAAGCUGUAUCAGAAAAGUCGUCUUGAAGGAUUGACGCUUGAGUGGAAUGAUGCGAAUAACAUGAAUCCAGAGAAUUGUUUACAUGUUGAGAUUCUUGAAGGCCUCGUGCCACCACCACAGUUGGAGCACUUAUCAAUUAGAGGUUACAAAUCGACUACCUAUCCAAGCUGGUUACUCGAGGGUUCCCAGCUUGAGAAUCUAGAAUCCUUUGCUCUUUAUAACUGCAGCGCUUUAGAAAGGCUACCAUCCAAUACCAAGCUCUUUAGGCGUUGCCGUGAAUUGAGCCUUAAGAAUCUCCCGAAUAUGAAGGAACUAUCAUUUCUUCCAGCAGGUCUCACAACGUUGUCAAUUCGUAGGUGCCCACUGCUUCUCUUCGUUACCAAUGAUGAACUGGAGUAUCAUGAUCAUAGUGAGCAUAUCCACUAGGACAGAGCAACUGGUUGCACAAUUUGCUUUGGUUGGGGUGAUGGGCCCAUUUUUAGAUGCACUGUCAUCGGAUCAUUCAUCUAUGAAGCAGUUGGCAGCAUUGAUGGACUCUGAUAUAUCAAAAAAUCUUCAAACCAUUGAACGCGCUCUAGAAAGAGAAGAUGAAGUAGUGAUGACCAAGGAUGUCAUCAAGGCAUGGAUGCGUUGCCACGAGCAGAGGAUGAGACUCAUUUAUGCAAGGAGGAUUGGGCUACCAUUGGUCCCACCGUCAGGACUUAGUGAUCUCUCCCUUAAAUCAUGCACAAUUACAGAUACAGCUCUAUCCAUAUGCCUUGGUGGCCUAGCUUCUCUGAGAUGUUUGUCCUUAUCCAAGAUCAUGUCUUUAACUACUCUUCCGUCAGAAGAGGUCCUGAAAAAAUUGACAAAGCUUGAUUGUUUGAUCAUUGAUGCCUGCUUGUUUCUCGGAUCGUUGGGGGGCUUGCGAGCUGCUACUUCCCUUUCGCAUUUAAGGUUGAACUCUUGCCCUGCUUUAGAGUUGGCACACGGUGCAGAAUUCAUGCCAGCGUCCCUUAAGAGACUCGCAAUAAGUUGUUGUGUGCUUGCACCCGACUUGUUCUGUGGCCACUGGCCGCAUCUGAAAGAUAUUUUCAUACACGACUGCAGAAGCUCUGUGUCGUUGUUUGUUGGUGAUCUUAGCUCCCUGAAAGAAUUCACACUUUAUCAUUUGCCAGAUUUAUGUGUGCUUGAAGGCCUGUCUUCCCUUCAACUUCACAGCGUGUGUUUGGUAGAUAUCCCGAAGCUUACUGCUGAGUGUGUGUCAAAGUUUCGUGUCCAGGAUUUACUGCAUGUUAGCAGCUCUGCGGUGUUGAACAACAUCAUCUCGGCUGAAGGUAUCACAGUUCAGCGUCUCUCAUCCUUCAAAGGUGCAAGGAGCCAUCCGUUUCAUUUGAAGAAACUAUAAAUUCCUCAUCUGUCAAGCAGCUGCGAUUAGAAAGUUGUCAAAUGAGUUCCCUGCAGGGAAAUCUGAAGUGCCUCUCCAGACUGGAGGAACUUGACAUCUUCAGUUGCCCCAAUAUAUCAUGUUUGCCAGAUCUCCCAUCCUCCCUUCAGCGCAUAUCCAUAGUGGACUGCCCCAAUAUAUCAUCUUUGCCAGAUCUCCCAUCCUCCCUGCAGCACAUAUACAUACGUGACUGUCCACUACUGAAGGAGAGCUGUAGAGUACCCGAUGGGGAAAGCUGGCCAAAGAUUGCGCAUAUUCGUUGGAAGCGUAUUGACUGAAUUAUGCUUCAGAUUCACAAGAACAAAGGAACAGAAAGUGCUGUUCCUUCGCCCCCUGCAUUGCAGACCUCCAGAGUCUCACACAGCUGUUUGGCUAUGAACGAGAGGGACCGGUUCGUAUUGACUGAUCGGUCUGAGCUUCUUCUUCUUAUUCUUGUGUGGUUGCAUUUCGCUGGCUGCUGGCUAUGGUCUAUAUGCCUAUGGACUAUUACCGAGAUGUAUCUGUGUAUUUGGAUCUUGCUCUGUUAUGUUUCCUGUUUGUUCUUUUGGACUGAAUUGCUUGUAGUAGCUGUUAUCUAUGGUGUGCAACGUCUACUGUAUUACUGCACCGGUGAAGCUUUGUAUGGGAGUACCAUGGUGCUUUUGAACUCAGGCUACUGUUAUCCUCUCUUGGAGUGUUUCCUUUUGGACUUGGUUUCUAUUGAGUAUUGACUGUAAGCCUGUAACUAUUAUCUCUUGUAUGAUGAGAUGCAAGAUAAGGCAAACCUGCAAUAGCUCUAGUCAA